rnacentral:misc_RNA from 1 species
CGCACAUUGCGCCCCUCGGAAUUCCGGGGGGCAUGCCUGUUCGAGCGUCAUUGCACCCUUCAAGCGUCCGCUUGGUCUUGGGGCCGCCGCCCGCGAGGGCGCCCCCGAAAAACAGUGGCGGUCCGGUACGGCACCGAGCGCAGUGGAUUUAUUUAUUCGCUCCGUGCCCGUGUCUGCGGCUGGCCAAAUCAACCCCGGGGCAAACCCCCACAAUGACAAAUUGACCUCGGAUCAGGUAGGGAUACCCGCUGAACUUAA